rnacentral:snRNA from 1 species
GUGCUCACUUAGCAGCCCAUAGACUAAAAUUGGAACAAUACAGACAGGAUUAGCAUGACCCCUGUGCAAAGAUGACAUGCAAAUUCGUGAAGCAUUCCAUAUUUUU